rnacentral:lncRNA from 1 species
ACCUAUUUAAUGUUCUUGAUGACAUUGCUAUCAGAAACAGAAAAAAAUCUAUCACUACAAAAAUAAAAAGAUAAAAAUAUAACUCUCCAGGCCGUAAGAACUCAUUAAGACCCACAAUCCAUCACUAUAAAAAUCAUUUAAAUCAAUAAAAUCAAAACAUACAAUAUCCCCAAAGUCCGUCGGAUUCAAAUUUAUCCUGAACCAAAACCCAAAUUCAAUAAUAAAAAAAAAAAAAAAAAACUUCAGUCUCUAAAAUCACCUGCAAUUAAUCAUAAACGAAAGAGAAAGAAAAAUACGGAGGACCACAAAAUAUGCUAAAAGCUAACAAGAGUAACUGCUCCCAAGACAAACGAGCUCCAAGAUUAACUACGCAUGAAGAUGAAAAGCUAAAACUCCAUAACACCUAUCAAAGCACAAAAAAACAAUGAAUUAGCCCCACCAAUAUACCUCGAAAGAACAACUACACUGCAAUACAAAACGCAAUACAUAGAUAACAAAUGCAUUAAAAUCAUACUUACCAUUAUCGAUAAUCUAUAUCAAGCAUAAAAGUUCCUAUCUCGGCGAAGCGAACAUAUUGUAAUUGCUUCUGUAUAGAUUAAUGGCAAUUUGUUGUCGGAAGACAUCAGAUUGCUCCUAAUAGGCAAUAGAUUCAUCAGGCCACAAUUAAAAUGAGUAUAUAUGUAGAAAUUAAAUUAAGAAGUUAUCUAAUUAAAAAAAAAUUACUUCUGACAGCUCAAAUGCCCCCAUCUCAAACAUCAUCAUCAUGCAAAUAUAUACUCCACAAUCGAACCUGUCACAUUAUGCAUACUGAUUAAUGGUGAUGAAUAAAUUACAGAAUAUCUUAAUACAUUUAUAAAUAUGAAUAGAAAUACCCAUUUGGUUGUAAAGGAACCCAAUCUGAAUCCAUAUAAUAGAACUUAUUCGU